GCCCUGCUAGCGCAAUCGGUAGCGCGUAGGACUUCUACUGUAUCUUGGAAAUCCUAAGGCUGUGGGUUCGAGUCCCACGUGGGGUG